rnacentral:rRNA from 1 species
AUUGAACGCUGGCGGCAGGCUUAACACAUGCAAGUCGAGCGGGGAAAUAUAGCUUGCUAUAUGACCUAGCGGCGGACGGGUGAGUAAUGCUUAGGAAUCUGCCUAUUAGUGGGGGACAACAUUUCGAAAGGGAUGCUAAUACCGCAUACGCCCUACGGGGGAAAGCAGGGGAUCUUCGGACCUUGCGCCAAUAGAUGAGCCUAAGUCGGAUUAGCUAGUUGGUGGGGUAAAGGCCUGCCAAGGCGACGAUCUGUAGCGGGUCUGAGAGGAUGAUCCGCCACACUGGGACUGAGACACGGCCCAGACUCCUACGGGAGGCAGCAGUGGGGAAUAUUGGACAAUGGGGGGAACCCUGAUCCAGCCAUGCCGCGUGUGUGAAGAAGGCCUUUUGGUUGUAAAGCACUUUAAGCGAGGAGGAGGCUCCUGUAGAUAAUACCUACAGUGAGUGGACGUUACUCGCAGAAUAAGCACCGGCUAACUCUGUGCCAGCCGCCGCCGUAAGAC